GAAAACCCACACACAUAUAUAUUACUGUUCCGAGUCAUUUGACCGUUGUGCCCUUAGGGUGACGGGAUGGGGACAGUGGUGUGGAAGAACUACGGCCGGUGGUAUAUAACGGUGUAAUCGAGUUAUUCGGCGAGAAGGGACUUUCCGGACGCCACCGCCGCCGCCGCCGCCGCCGCCGAGAGGCUGCAGCCGGAGAAGACGAUAUAUUAAUAAACGCGCGCUGUGCACAGGUUUUGUAGAAUGUCAAAAUAUGUAAUAUUCAAAACGUUACGGCCAUAACUGGAGUCUGGAGUAUGCAAGUUCUAGUUGCCCACAACCUGGGAUCAGAAGAGAGAAGAACCGUGUUAACAGUUAUUAUUAUAACAGCCAGUGCCACAGAACAUUUUUGGAUUAUGUGACUGAACGAAUUUUUGGAAGAAGAAACAAUUACCAUCGCUCUCGAUCAGUCACAGUGUGAUGUUAAUAAAUCUAUUAACCGUUAUAGAAUGGUUGUCUCGUACCAUGGCUAAAGACAACCAGCCCUAAGUGCGCUAUCUUCAAACGCCGUUUCCUGUCUGUAUUGUUUUUACUCGCGUGCUCAGCUUUUCCUAUCGGUAGCCGGAGGUAUACAUUAUUUUAUGUUAAUGAUGGUAAUAAUUAUAAAUAAAACAAUGUAUUAACGAUAUAGGUGUAUA